UAACUUUUUUUUGUUAAAUGGAUUACCAUAAAAAAAAGGUUUUCAAUUUUAAUACAAUUUAUAACUAAAUUUUUUUUUAGCUAAACCUCUUGGGGGGAAUCAAUCUUAUCAGAUUACGAAUUUGUUAAUAAUUUUAAAUUUUGCAUACCCUUUCUUAGAGAUUACCCUUUAAUAGAUUAAGAGUAUUUGGAAGGAGAUAAUGAGUCGAACUAUCAUUAUAAUUAUUGUGACUUCAGUGACUUCAGUUCUGAUUCUAAUAAAUCUGAUUCCGACAGCUCAUACGUGUAAGCAAACACCUCUGAGGAUUUAUCAGAAACAUCAAUGGAUAAAAAACAAGGUAAUAAACAAUAAUUUUAAUGCCUUAUGACUACUGCGACUUGAGUUCUGAUUCUGAUAAAUCUGUAUCAGACUUGAAUAGCUCAGUUUAAACACCUCUCAUGACCUAUCGGAAACAGAGCUGGAGAAACAAAACAAGACGAUGUACCAAAAGAAAUCUCUGAAAAUUUUCAAAGGGAAGCUGAAUUGGAAGUCGUAGAUGAUGAAAAAUUAUAAACUCUCGCAAAGUCUCGAAAACUCUGGAAAAGUUUCAAACUUUACAUUAAUUUCAAAAUAAGUGAAAGUUGAAGAAAUGGAAGGAAGUGAAUUGGAGAAUUGGAGAAUCUUUGUGAAAAAUGUGGUUUGAAGCAGGAUUCAACAAAUUCUGCUUGUGUUAAAUCGAACACUAAUCUCCCUUCAGAUGAUACCGAGGAACAGCAAGUAUUGGAAGUCAUGAAUGAAGACGGAGGAAAGCAAGAUUUACCAGAACUGACUUUGGAAAUUGGUGAAGCACUCGAUGAAUUUGAAAACCUUUAUGAUGACAAAAUCAUUCUGAAACGAAAUGUGAAGAAAUACUACAGGAUUGAAUUUGCGAAAAAAGCCAAACUGGAUAGCAUGAACGCUACUUUUUCGAUCGUCAGUAUCAAAACAGUGAAGAUGGUGUCUCAGAUGUUGGAGAAGGUGGUUUUGAUUCUUCGGGCAGUAAUGAUGGAGAAGAUUACGGAGACGAUGAAGGAUCCGAAGAAAGCAGUCUGUGCAGCAGCUUGUCCCACUGCACGACUGAAUCGGAGUCCGAGGACAAUGAAGAGUUUCUUUAAUUCACUUUGUAGCAGCUUUAAACCCUUUUAAAAUUAAUGUAAAUGCCCUGUUUUUGGUACUGUUCGAACACAACUGAUGUAACUCAGAAAUAAAUCGUCGCUGAUAAAUUGAA